AACGAACGCUGGCGGCAUGCCUAACACAUGCAAGUCGAACGAGACCUUCGGGUCUAGUGGCGCACGGGUGCGUAACGCGUGGGAACCUGCCCUUAGGUUCGGAAUAACUCCCCGAAAGGGGUGCUAAUACCGGAUAAUGUCUUCGGACCAAAGAUUUAUCGCCUUUGGAUGGGCCCGCGUUGGAUUAGCUAGUUGGUAGGGUAAAAGCCUACCAAGGCGACGAUCCAUAGCUGGUCUGAGAGGAUGAUCAGCCACACUGGGACUGAGACACGGCCCAGACUCCUAGGGGAGGCAGCAGUGGGGAAUAUUGGACAAUGGGCGAAAGCCUGAUCCAGCAAUGCCGGGGGAGUGAUGAAGGCCUUAGGGUUGUAAAGCUCUUUUACCCGGGAUGAAAAUGACAGUACCGGGAGAAUAAGCCCCGGCUAACCCCGU
rnacentral:rRNA from 1 species